GACGAACGCUGGCGGCGUGCUUAACACAUGCAAGUCGAACGGAAAGGUACUGCUUUUGUGGGGUGCUCGAGUGGCGAACGGGGGAGUAAAACGUGAGUAAAAUGCACUUGAAUUUGGGAUAAAAUCAGGAAAAUGGGGCUAAUACGGGGGAGGAGCUUCAGAUGCAUGGGGGGGGUAGGAAAGAUUCGGCGGUUGGGGAUGGACUAGCGGCUUAUCAGCUUGUUGGUGGGGUAGUGGCUUACCAAGGCUUUGACGGGUAGCCGGCCUGAGAGGGUGACCGGCCACAUUGGGACUGAGAUACGGCCCAGACUCCUACGGGAGGCAGCAGUGGGGACUAUUGCACAAUGGGCGGAAGCCUGAUGCAGCAACGCCGCGUGCGGGAUGACGGCCUUCGGGUUGUAAACCGCUUUCGCCUGUGACGAAGCGUGAGUGACGGUAAUGGGUAAAGAAGCACCGGCUAACUACGUG
rnacentral:rRNA from 1 species